rnacentral:tRNA from 1 species
GCCUUUGUAGUUUAUACAAAACUCUAGUCUUGUAAACUAAAAUAGGUACCCCUAAGGCU